GUUGGCAUUCCUGGGGGUCCAGACAAGGUUCACGCGAAUUAUCCCGGGAAUGAAAGGGUUAACGUGUGAGGAUCAUUUGAUGCCUCUGGGCCCGUAUUCGCUGGGUGUUUCAAUGGAUGGUGGGGGGAGAGAAUCCGAUUGAAACCUAUGGGAAAAGAUGGACGGAAUGGCCGAAAUCUGCUCCCCUGUCUGAUGGUCAGACACUUUGCCUUGGCCCGCCCCCUCCCCGCCCGUCGUGACUCAGCCGCCAAUCUGCUCCGUCCGGAGCAGCUUUCCCACGGGCACGGACCGGCCCCACGCCUGGCUCGGCUGCUCAGAAAUACCAGCAAACGGGGCGGGAGGGGAACCACACACCUCGCCGUCGCAGCCGACCGAAUACUCUCGGAGCGAUGAAAGCGCUGGCCCUCCUCCUCGGCCUCCUGCUCUUCAGCGGGGGCAUCCAUUCGUCGGAUUCCACCUCCCUGGAGUGCGAUGAAGUGGCGGGAUUUUGCCACACGUCGCCCUGUCCUGGCGGGUACUUAGAGGAACGUCAAUUCUGCGACAACGAGCUCAGCUGCUGUUACUUGUGACAUCGGAGCAGAGCGCGGAAGUGUCUUCGCCCCGAAAGACCGAGAUCGGCUUCGCCGGGGAAGGAGCCAUUUACCCCGAGGCCCGCACCAGAGGCACCCCGACAGCUCACGCGCAGAAAUAAACCUCCCGUGGACCAUAAAUCGC